GACGAACGCUGGCGGCGUGCCUAAUACAUGCAAGUAGGACGCAGUUGCGAACGGGUGAGUAACGCGUAGGUAACUGCCUAGUAGAGGGGGAUAAAUAUUGGAAACGAUAGCUAAUACCGCAUACUAGUAGAUGGACCUGCGUUGUAUUAGUUAGUAGGUAGGGUAAUGGCCUACCUAGGCGACGAUACAUAGCCGAGCUGGAGGGGUGAUCGGCCACACUGGGGCUGGGAAACGGCCCAGACUCCUACGGGAGGCAGCAGUAGGGAAUCUUCGGCAAUGGGGGGAACCCUGACCGAACAACGCCGCGGGGGUGAAGAAGGUUUUCGGAUCGUAAAGCUCUGUUGUUAAGGAAGCGGUACUUAACCAGAAAGGGACGGCUAACUACGUGCCAGCAGCCGCGGUAAUAC
rnacentral:rRNA from 1 species